GUGAACACUCACUUUGGCAGCACAUAUACUAAAAUUGGAAUGAUGCAAAGAUUAGCCCGGCCCCUGGUCAAGGAUGACACGCAAAUUUGUGAAGUGUUCCAUAUUUUU